rnacentral:misc_RNA from 1 species
GAUGAAGAACGCAGCAAAAUGCGAUAAGUAAUGUGAAUUGCAGAAUUCAGUGAAUCAUCGAAUCUUUGAACGCACCUUGCACCCUUUGGCAUUCCGAAGGGUAUGCUCGUUUGAGUGUCAUUGUACUCUCACACUCUCCGAUCCUAUGGAUUCGGGGAGCGGUGGACUUGGGUGUUGCUGCCUUUCCUUGUGGCUCACCUCAAAUGUGUCAGUGCACCUCUUGGUUGGACAUAGUACGGCGUGAUAAGUGUCUUCGCCGGCACCUCGCAAGAGGGUGGCCGAUCGGGAGCUCUGUGCUUUCAAACCGUCUUCGGACAAUUUCUGACAACUUGACCUCAAAUCGAGUAGGACUACCCGCUGAACUUAAGCAUAUCAAUAAGCGGAGGA